rnacentral:rRNA from 1 species
CACGUAGGGUGCGAGCGUUGUUCGGAAUUACUGGGCGUAAAGGGCUCGUAGGUGGCCAACUAAGUCAGACGUGAAAUCCCUCGGCUUAACCGGGGAACUGCAUCUGAUACUGGAUGGCUUGAGUUUGGGAGAGGGACGCGGAAUUCCAGGUGUAGCGGUGAAAUGCGUAGAUAUCUGGAGGAACACCGGUGGCGAAGGCGGCGUCCUGGACCAACACUGACACUGAGGAGCGAAAGCCAGGGGAGCAAACGGG